AAAUAAACCUGAUUGUAGUGGAAAGCUUUUUAUUAAUGACUUAAAAUAUGCUGGCAUAUUGAGGAAAGAAUAUCUGUAACCGAUGAAACAGAUGCUUCGUUUCUCCGCAUGACAGGAAUUAAUAAAAAGCUUGAAACAAAAAGCGGGGCUAUCG
rnacentral:sRNA from 1 species